rnacentral:rRNA from 1 species
AUUGAACGCUGGCGGCAUGCUUUACACAUGCAAGUCGAACGGCAGCGCGGGCUUCGGCCUGGCGGCGAGUGGCGAACGGGUGAGUAAUGCAUCGGAACGUGCCCAGUAGUUGGGGAUAGCCCGGCGAAAGCCGGAUUAAUACCGCAUACGACCUGAGGGUGAAAGCGGGGGACCGAAAGGCCUCGCGCUAUUGGAGCGGCCGAUGUCGGAUUAGCUAGUUGGUGGGGUAAAGGCUUACCAAGGCGACGAUCCGUAGCUGGUCUGAGAGGACGACCAGCCACACUGGGACUGAGACACGGCCCAGACUCCUACGGGAGGCAGCAGUGGGGAAUUUUGGACAAUGGGGGCAAACCUGAUCCAGCCAUGCCGCGUGCGGGAAGAAGGCCUUCGGGUUGUAAAACGCUUUUGUUCGGGAAGAAAUCCUAUGGGCUAAUACCCCGGGGGGAUGACGGUACCGGAAGAAUAAGCACCGGCUAACUACGUG